GUCCCUGUAGCGCAGUGGAUACCGCAUAGGACUUCUAAUCCAAAGGUCGUGGUUUCGAAACCCACCAGGCAUG